AGAGUUUGAUCCUGGCUCAGGAUGAACGCUGGCGGCGUGCCUAAUACAUGCAAGUCGAACGCUUCACUUCGGUGAAGAGUGGCGAACGGGUGAGUAAUACAUAAGUAACCUGGCAUCUACAGGGGGAUAACUGAUGGAAACGUCAGCUAAGACCGCAUAGGUGUAGAGAUCGCAUGAACUCUAUAUGAAAAGUGCUACGGGACUGGUAGAUGAUGGACUUAUGGCGCAUUAGCUUGUUGGUAGGGUAACGGCCUACCAAGGCGACGAUGCGUAGCCGACCUGAGAGGGUGACCGGCCACACUGGGACUGAGACACGGCCCAGACUCCUACGGGAGGCAGCAGUAGGGAAUUUUCGGCAAUGGGGGAAACCCUGACCGAGCAACGCCGCGUGAAGGAAGAAGUAAUUCGUUAUGUAAACUUCUGUCAUAGAGGAAGAACGGUGGAUAUAGGGAAUGAUAUCCAAGUGACGGUACUCUAUAAGAAAGCCACGGCUAACUACGUGCCAGCAGCCGCGGUAAUACGUAGGUGGCGAGCGUUAUCCGGAAUUAUUGGGCGUAAAGAGGGAGCAGGCGGCACUAAGGGUCUGUGGUGAAAGAUCGAAGCUUAACUUCGGUAAGCCAUGGAAACCGUAGAGCUAGAGUGUGUGAGAGGAUCGUGGAAUUCCAUGUGUAGCGGUGAAAUGCGUAGAUAUAUGGAGGAACACCAGUGGCGAAGGCGACGAUCUGGCGCAUAACUGACGCUCAGUCCCGAAAGCGUGGGGAGCAAAUAGGAUUAGAUACCCUAGUAGUCCACGCCGUAAACGAUGAGUACUAAUGGUGGGGGGGCAAACCUCAGUGCUGCAGUUAACGCAAUAAGUACUCCGCCUGAGGAGAUCGUUGGCAAGAAGAAACUUCAAAGGAAUUGACGGGGGGCCCGCACAAGCGAUGGAGCAUGUUGGUUUAAUUGGAAGCAACUCCGAAGAACCUUACCAGGUCUUGACAUCGAUCUAAAGGGCUCCAGAGAUGGAGAGAUAGCUAUAGAGAAGACAGGUGGCUGCAUGGUUGUCGUCAGCUCGUGUCGGUGAGAUGUUGGGUUAAGUCCCGCAACGAGCGCAACCCCUGUUGCCAGUUGCCAGCAUUAAGUUGGGGACUCUGAGCGAGACUGCCGGUGACAAGCCGGAGGAAGGCGGGGAUGACGUCAAAUCAUCAUGCCCCUUAUGACCUGGGCUACACACGUGCUACAAUGGACAGAGCAGAGGGAAGCGAAGCCGCGAGGUGGAGCGAAACCCAUAAAACUGUUCUCAGUUCGGACUGCAGUCUGCAACUCGACUGCACGAAGAUGGAAUCGCUAGUAAUCGCGAAUCAGCAUGUCGCGGUGA
rnacentral:rRNA from 1 species